rnacentral:rRNA from 1 species
CCCUCAUGAAGCUGGAAUUGCUAGUAAUCGCCAAUCAGCUACGUGGCGAUGAAUACGUUCCUGAGUCUUGUACUCGGGUUGCCUGGCAGUUUUAGAGAAAAGCAAGUGUAAAUCUUGCCGCAUUUAUCUCAAAAAAUGCGAAGCCAAAUCGCAGGUGUAUGUCGCGAGGCAUCCACUGAAGGGCGAAGAGGCAUUUUAUAGCUUGAGCACUUCAAUAAAUGGCUACAAAUUUGACGACCUAUCGAGUACACAGGGAAGUCAUUUGAGAUCAUAAAUUUGUAGUAAUCGGAAGGCCGAGAUGUAGGAAAAUGUUUUCUAAGAUGACCCAGGGAGAUCUCAUUCAUUCUCAACAUUCGUUGAGUAACAAUUAUUUAAGGUCGGGGAAAACCGGAGAUGAUUGCAAUUGUGAAAGAGAAGUCUGCAGAGGUCGUAGUACUUUCUAUAUAGAAAGGAAGGACCAAACCUGUUAAGUUUAACAGGAACCGCUAGGAUACGGGAAAACCGUUCGUCCAGUGGUGUUCGGCAUAUUAGUGACCGAAAAACCGCCCGUCAAGCCAAGCAAGCUGGGGAUAGCCGAAGUGCGCCGCAAGGCGCCCUAAGCUAGAUUCAGUAAGAGGGGCUAAGUCGUAACAAGGCACGGGUAGCGGAAGCUGCUCGUGGAUCA